rnacentral:lncRNA from 1 species
AGCGAAUGAGGCCCUGAUUGGAUGGCACUGGCAAAUGGAUCAUCAAAGUAUAUGUUUUAAUUUUCCAUGGAGACAUCUUUUUAACUCUUCAUGCAUUAGGGUUCAAAAUUAUUGUACAUAUAUUACCUUCCCCUCGAAUAAUUCUUUCAAGUCAGCACCUAUGUGCAAUUGAGUUUUUCGUGUUUUAGUGACGACUUUAUUUCAAUGUAGAUAUUAUCUUCAGUUUGUACUUGGCCAUAGUGGGAUGCCAGGAAAUAUCCUACUCAUCAAUCGGAAUAGUUAUUGUCAUUCUAGGAGCUGAAAGACGUCGGUCAUUCUAAAAUGUCUAACUAUACUUUUAUCAAAGAGGCAACACCUGACAGUGUGCCGAUAUCUGUAGGUAAGAUUGUAGGAUGUCUUCUCGCUUUUUGCCCUUGUCAGGCUUUAUAUUUUUGUCCCUAUGAUCUAGGAUUAGUUUAGUAGCCAUCUAGAGAUAAGACUGUAAAAUGAAGUUGCUCUAUGUGAAGGUGAAGCUAAUGUUUUCCUUGUUACUUUAGCAAUUUGUUAUAUAGCAUUCUAUUAUUCUUUAUUCAUUGGAAAAUU